rnacentral:tRNA from 1 species
GCCCUUGUAGUACAAAUCAAUACACUGGUCUUGUAAACCAGAAAUGGAACACCUCCCUAGGGUA